UCCGCCUGGGGAUUGGACCGCUUUCUAUUAGCUUGUUGGUGAGGUAAUGGCUCACCAAGGCUCAGAUGGAUACCGGGUGUGAGAGCAUGGCCCGGCUCACUGGGACUGAGACACUGCCCAGACACCUACGGGUGGCUGCAGUCGAGAAUCUUCGGCAAUGGACGAAAGUCUGACCGAGCGACGCCGCGUGCGGGAUGAAGGCCUUCGGGUUGUAAACCGCUGUCAGUUGGGAGGAAAUGUAUGGGGGUACUCCCCUGUAUUUGACCGAUCUUCAGAGGAAGGACGGGCUAAGUUCGUGCCAGCAGCCGCGGUAAGACGAACCGUCCAAACGUUAUUCGGUAUCACUGGGCUUAAAGCGUUCGUAGGCGGCCUAGUAGGUGAGAUGUGAAAGCCCACGGCUCAACCGUGGAACAGCGUUUCAAACCACUAGGCUCGAGGAUGGCAGGGGUAAUGGGAACUGAUGGUGGAGCGGUGAAAUGCGUUGAUAUCAUCAGGAACACCGGUGGCGAAAGCGCAUUACUGGGCCAUUUCUGACGCUGAGGAACGAAAGCUAGGGUAGCGAACGGGAUUAGAUACCCCGGUAGUCCUAGCCGUAAACGAUGAGCACUGGGUUGAGGGGACUUCCACAUCUUCUCGGCCGUAGCGAAAGCGUUAAGUGCUCCGCCUGGGGAGUAUGGCCGCAAGGCUGAAACUCAAAGGAAUUGACGGGGGCUCACACAAGCGGUGGAGGAUGUGGCUUAAUUCGAGCCUACGCGAAGAACCUUAUCCUAGACUUGACAUGUUUAAGAAUCCUCUGGAAACAGAGGAGUCCCGCAAGGGAGCUUUUGCACAGGUGCUGCAUGGCUGUCGUCAGCUCGUGUCGUGAGAUGUCGGGUUAAGUCCCUUAACGAGCGAAACCCUUAUCUCUAGUUGCCAGCGGGUAAUGCCGGGGACUCUAGAGAGACUGCCGGUGUCAAACCGGAGGAAGGUGGGGAUGACGUCAAGUCCUCAUGGCCUUUAUGUUUAGGGCUGCACACGUCCUACAAUGGCACGUACAAAGGGAUGCAACACCGCGAGGUGGAGCUAAUCCCACAAAGCGUGCCUCAGUUCGGAUUGCAGGCUGCAACUCGCCUGCAUGAAGCUGGAAUCGCUAGUAAUCGUGGGUCAGCAUACCACGGUGAAUGCGUUCCUGAGCCUUGUACACACCGCCCGUCAAGCCACGAAAGUUGGUAGGGCCCGUAGUCACUGAGCUAACCCGCAAG
rnacentral:rRNA from 1 species